rnacentral:rRNA from 1 species
GAACCUGGCGGCAGGCUACACAUGCUUAUCGAGCGCGCCUUCGGGUGAGCGGCGGACGGGUUAGUACGCGUGGGAACGUGCCCUUCUCUACGGAAUAGCCUCUGGAAACGGAGAGUAAUACCGUAUACGCCCUUUGGGGGAAAGAUUUAUCGGAGAAGGAUCGGCCCGCGUUAGAUUAGGUAGUUGGUGGGGUAACGGCCUACCAAGCCUACGAUCUAUAGCUGGUUUUAGAGGAUGAUCAGCAACACUGGGACUGAGACACGGCCCAGACUCCUACGGGAGGCAGCAGUGGGGAAUCUUAGACAAUGGGGGCAACCCUGAUCUAGCCAUGCCGCGUGAGUGAUGAAGGCCUUAGGGUCGUAAAGCUCUUUCGCCUGUGAUGAUAAUGACAGUAGCAGGUAAAGAAACCCCGGACUAACUCCGUGCCAGCAGCCGCGGUAAUACGGAGGGGGUUAGCGUUGUUCGGAAUUACUGGGCGUAAAGCG